rnacentral:tRNA from 1 species
GCCUGCAUAAUCCAAAGGAAGAUACUCGUUUUGAACACGAAAAACAGAGGUUCAAAUCCUCUUGCAGUCU